rnacentral:rRNA from 1 species
AUACAGAGGGUGCUAGCGUUAAUCGGAAUUACUGGGCGUAAAGCGUGCGUAGGCGGUUAAAUCAGUCAAAUGUGAAAGCCCUGGGCUUAACCUGGGAACUGCAUUUGAUACUAUUUAGCUAGAGUAUGGUAGAGGGAAGUGGAAUUUCCGGUGUAGCGGUGAAAUGCGUAGAUAUCGGAAGGAACACCAGUGGCGAAGGCGACUUCCUGGACCAAUACUGACGCUGAGGUACGAAAGCGUGGGGAGCAAACAGGAGUAGAUACCCCAGUAGUCC